GAUGAUCGCUAGCGGCAGGCUUAAUACAUGCAAGUCGUGGGGCAGCAUGGGUAGCAAUACCUGAUGGCGACCGGCAAACGGGUGCGGAACACGUACGCAACCUUCCUUUAAGUGAGGAAUAGCCCAGGGAAACUUGGAUUAAUACCUCGUAACAUUAUGGAGUGGCAUCACUUUAUAAUUAUAGCUCAGGCGCUUAAAGAUGGGCGUGCGGCUGAUUAGGUAGUUGGCGGGGUAACGGCCCACCAAGCCUACGAUCAGUAACUGGUGUGAGAGCACGACCAGUCACACGGGCACUGAGACACGGGCCCGACUCCUACGGGAGGCAGCAGUAAGGAAUAUUGGUCAAUGGACGCAAGUCUGAACCAGCCAUGCCGCGUGGAGGAUGAAGGCCCUCUGGGUUGUA
rnacentral:rRNA from 1 species